rnacentral:rRNA from 1 species
UGGGGAAUUUUGGACAAUGGGCGCUAGCCCGAUCCAGCAAUGCCGCGUGCAGGAUGAAGGCCUUCGGGUUGUAAACUGCUUUUGUCAGGGAAGAAACGAGUUUCUCUAAUACAGAGACUUAAUGACGGUACCUGAAGAAUAAGCACCGGCUAACUACGUGCCAGCAGCCGCGGUAAUACGUAGGGUGCAAGCGUUAAUCGGAAUUACUGGGCGUAAAGCGCACGCAGGCGGUUAUAUAAGACAGAUGUGAAAUCCCCGGGCUCAACCUGGGAACUGCAUUUGUGACUGUAUAGCUAGAGUACGGCAGAGGGGGAUGGAAUUCCGCGUGUAGCAGCGAAAUGCGUAGAUAUGCGGAGGAACACCGAUGGCGAAGGCAGCCUCCUGGGCCAGUACUGACGCUCAUGCACGAAAGCGUGGGGAGCAAACA